rnacentral:lncRNA from 1 species
AUGAUGUACUCCUUCCAUCCCCAAACAAUGUCCAGAAUAGCAUCAGUGGAGUUGGAGACGGAGUCUUUUGUGUGUCUCCCCGAUUCCUUCUCUUCUCCAAGAUUAAAUAAAUUAACUCCAACCACAGUACAGUCAAUGCUCUGGCUGUUUUGGAAACUGCCUCCUUGUGACACUCUCUGGUCUGAGCUUAAUACAAAUUUUGGGGAAAGUUCAAAAAAGGAAAGGCUGUUGAUUUUUCUUUCUUUCUUUUUCUUUUUCUUUCUUUCUUUCCUUCUUUCUUUCUUUCUUUCUUUCUCUCUCUCUCUCUCUUUCUCUCUUUUUCUUUCUUUCUUUUUUCUUUUUCUCUCUUUCUUUCUCUUUCUUUUUCUUUCUUUCUUUUCUUUCUCCUUUCAUUCUUUCUCUUUCUCUUUCUUUCUCUCUUUUUUUUUUCCCCUUCCUUUCCCCUCCUUGUCUUCCACCUAUGAAAGCACAAUAGUUGCAUUUAUAUGUCAGAAACAGACUGAAUUCUUCCUUCGAAUAAAAUAUGCCAUCCACCAUAUCCACCCUCUACAGUCUCUAACUCAAAAUAAUUCAGCAUUGGCUAGUGUAAAUGGAAUGGGUUUACUUUAAAGGAAAAAAUUACUUUUGGCUGCCCAUUAAAUGUCACAGAGGAAAUUCAUGGCAUGUAGGAAAACAACGGUGUACAGAACUGUUGAGCCAAGAUUGCCUAGCAGAUGUUGUAUUCAUUAUAGUGUAAGCAUUAUAAAAUCAUUUCUAAUGAGCAGAAAACAGGAAAAGCCUAUCUCCCUGUGGUGAUACUGUGAAGGCAGUACUGUUGUUAGAAGUCUUUUUUUUCUUCCUUUUGAUUUGUCAUGUGCUAAGAUUGGAAUCUAUAAAAUUUCCUCAGUGCUAUACGUGUGUAGAAGGCCUCAGGAUUUAGGAAAACAGUUAAUACCUGGUGAUUUGUUACUAUUUCCAGAACCAAGGCAAUUUCCAAUGCUUUUGAGAGCACUGAUCCAGAAGGCUGGCAAGGAAUGUUUCAGGGAAGUGAGGAAUUCCAACCCUAGCACUUGUGCCACACCAAUACAAACCUCUGCUUCUUCUUGCCAGACAUCAGCUCUGACUCAAGCAGAGAACCACAGCACAAUGACUUUGGGAUACCCUGAAAGUUGUCUCAUGUCCAGCUCCCUGCUACAGCAUCACCACCACCAAAAAUAUAAUUUACUUAGAGUCUCUUUGUUUGCUUCCUUUUGGAAAAUGGGUAGAAAAUACUUCUUUGUAUACCACUUUCUCACUGAGGUACCUGCUCUGGAAAGGCAGACUGCUACUUAUUUUCUGAUUAGAUAAAGCAUUUAAGCUUUCUGGAAACUGGUCCUCAGAUGGAGUUAACUUGGUUUCAGGGUAGAGUGGCCUAACAGUUCUACAAUAGCCAUGUGUUUUUAGUUUUGGUAAGUUUUUUGUUUGUUUGUUUUUAAUUUUUUUUGUAGUUGUUGAUGGGUAGUUAUUUUUGGUUGUUUCUUUCAGCAGGACUAACCGUCCUAACUGACAUUUGCUGACCAAGUCUUGAUUAAUUAAAUGUAACCUUUAAAAGAAAUUAAACCCCAAGUGUUUCACAAAGGACAACUAUUCUUCAUUUUUAAUUGUGCUGGUAAAAAAAAAUACUAAUGGAACACAGACUUUAAGAAAAGCUCUUAAAGGAUCGUAGGAUGAUUCGGGUGUAAGUGGAAGGAGGCCUCAGGAAGGCCUCAGUCCAACCAGCUGCUCAGGGCAGGGUCCAUUCUGAGCUCAGACUGGGUUGCUCAGGGUUUUACCCUGCUGGAUCCUGGGUAAAAGGAUCUACCUCCAAGGGUAGAGAUGGCACAGUCUCUGUGGGCAGCCUGUGCUGCAUGCAGCAUGGGGAAUAAACAAAGGGAUCUGGAGGUCUGAGUGCA